GUACUGCUGAGGAGUCCCAAACUAGGGGGACGAAACAGCUGUCCAGUAC
rfam:Trichobilharzia regenti genome assembly, scaffold: TRE_scaffold0010384